CUGGGCCCAGAUGCCAGGAGUCCAAAGAGAACACUGCUGAUGACCGGUGUAGGAAGAGAGGAAUCGCUUUUGUGUCCUUCCUCAAGAGGUUCUUCUCAAGAUUUUCCAGAAGCUGGAAAUGCUCCCGAAGAGCAACAAAUCUUUCUGCAGUGAUGUCAUUCAUGCUUCCUCCAAGAACUAAAAGCCUAGACACCAAAGUCACCAACCUCGGUCCAGGGCGUCAUGCAGUAGAGAAGAUGGAUAGACUGAGAGCAUGCGCAUUUGAUCUGUGCAUAAACAAAACCACAGAAGCUGAAGAGAAGAGAGAAUGUUUUAAGUCAAACAGGUGCCUUUUGCUGUAUUGGAUUUCUAUCCUUGGAAACCUUCCCGAAAUGAAGACAAAGCGUACAUUGGCUCAGACGGAGAACAUGGACCCUGAUCUAGAUUAAAAUUACUGUCUUUGGAACUAGCUAUGUGACAUCAGACACACUAUCUCUGUUUCUGUCUAUAAACUGUAGGGUGGUAACCAGCCUUCAGCUUUCUGAUAUGCUUAACUUGAUAAAGUAUCGCUAGUGCAGUUUCCAGAAUAAUCACCAAUAUCAGUAAAUUGCAAUUUUCACUCUGGUAGAAACUAUUGAGUCUUCCAAAAAUCAUGGAAGAAAGUUUUUGCACUGGAUGGGAAGUUGAACAAAAUAUUUUAGUUCAUUCUAACCCAAAGAUAGUAAGACUCUGAGCAGGCUAUGAUACCACACACCUGUAAUCCCAGCACUUGGGAAGCUGAGGCAACAAGUUCCAACAUUUGAGGCCAGCUAGGGCUCUGUAGCAAAAAAAAAAAUUUCAAAAAAAAAUUACAACAAAACAAUUCUCUGAUUUUGUAAACUUUCACAAUUAUUUUUUUCUAUGUCUUUAGAAUUUUAUAAAUAGUUCCAGAAUUGCAUUUAUCUCACAAAAUGACCCUCAAUAAAUGGAACCAUCUUUGUUCAUCUUUCCACUUUCAUGGGCCUUGCACACUAGUUGCAUAUUGUCAAACAGUGCUGUCAUUAUUCACUGAAUAUUCAAACUAAAUAUUUAAUUUGUCUAAAAAUAUGGAACCAUAUCUGCCAUCUUUCAAUGAAAAUUUCAGGUAAAAAUACUUAUCAAAAUUAUUCAAUCUAACUUUUUUUAAUGUCUAGGAGGAAGGUAAAUGAUAAAAAAUAUAAACCAGUGGUGAUGCAUAAUACCUAUAAUCUCAGAAUCUGGGGACUAAAGUCGGGAGAAUGGCCCCACGUUCAAGGUCAGCUAGUAGUAUCCAGUGAGUUCAGACCAACUUGGGCUACAGUGAGACCCUGUCUCAAAAAAUUGAAAAUAGAGUCUAUAAUUUCUUGUCUCUAGAGUUAGCCAUUUAAGAAACCCACAUUUGAACUUGCAUAAGACCAAACUAAUACAGGUGACAAUGGUGUGACUGGGACAAUAUAUGAGGCCACUGGUAGUGGGUCCAAGAUCUAACUCUAAAGCACAAACUGACUUAGUGGAGUCCAUUCUAUAUGGAAAGAUACCAUGCCCAGCCUAGACAUAGGAGGAGGGAGAUGCCUUGGUCCUGCCUCAACUAGAUGAUGGAACAGACUUAGUAGAAUUCCUAGGGGAGGCCUUACUCUCUCCAAGGAGCAGAUGGAAGGAUAGGGUGAGUAAAGGGAGUGGGAGGAAAGAAGGGAGGAGAACUGGGAUUGGAAUGCAAAAAAUAAAUUAAUAAAAAAUGAACAAAAAAAAGAAAGAAACCCACAUUUGUGGGGCACUUAUGAGAAGCCAAGUAUCUUUGACAAAUAGUAGUCUUGUUUAGGCUGUUAAUACACCUGUGAAUUAAUGCUUCAUUUAAUUCUUUUAAAAAAUGUAGAAAGCUGUGUAUGGCUGUAUGUACUUGUAAUCACAACAUUUGGAAGAUGGAGGCAGAAUGGUCAGGAGUUCAAAGCCAACAUCAGUUACAUAGCAAGCUUGAGACCAGCCUGGGUAGCAUGAGACCCUGUCUACAAGCAAACACAUGGUAAUUUAAAAAUAUUAAAUCCACACAACUAAUGUAUGGCAGAGUAGAACAUAGUCUGAUUAACCUCAGUGCUAAGCUAUCCUUUCAAAAAUAUUUUCAUUCAAGCAUGGUGGCACAGUACAAGUAAUUCCAG
rnacentral:lncRNA from 1 species